rnacentral:rRNA from 1 species
GACGUAGGGGGCCAGCGUUGUUCGGAAUUACUGGGUGUAAAGGGGUCGUAGGCGGUGCGGCAAGUUGGGAGUGAAAUCUCUGGGCUUAACCCAGAGGCUGCUUCCAAAACUGCUGUGCUUGAGUGUGGGAGAGGCGCGUGGAAUUGCAGGUGUAGCGGUGAAAUGCGUAGAUAUCUGCAGGAACACCCGUGGCGAAAGCGGCGCGCUGGACCACUACUGACGCUGAGGAACGAAAGCUAGGGGAGCAAACAGG